UACGUAGGGUGCGAGCGUUGUCCGGAAUUAUUGGGCGUAAAGAGCUUGUAGGCGGUCUGUCGCGUCUGCUGUGAAAAUCCGGGGCUCAACUCCGGACUUGCAGUGGGUACGGGCAGACUAGAGUGUGGUAGGGGAGACUGGAAUUCCUGGUGUAGCGGUGAAAUGCGCAGAUAUCAGGAGGAACACCGAUGGCGAAGGCAGGUCUCUGGGCCACUACUGACGCUGAGAAGCGAAAGCAUGGGGAGCGAACAGG
rnacentral:rRNA from 1 species